rnacentral:lncRNA from 1 species
AGAGUCAACAAGGGGAAGUUUAGUAGGUGAAGGGUCACUGCUGCCGAGCAGCAAUAACUUUCCAUGCCUCAGCUCCCAGGCAUCUAGUUUCUGUUCAUGGAAAUAGAGCUCACUAGGGGAAAGGUCGGGGAGACCAAGGCGUCUCUAUCAUAGCCCUGAUCUGACACUGUGUUCUUGCAUGAGGCUCAGCUACUCACUGUGUUCUUGCGUGAGUCUCCUGGCUGUUAGGAAUUCUGCUGCUCAAGUGGAAAAAACAGAUUGCAAAGUACUUCAUAGAUCACCCUGUACUGAGUAUGGCAAACUGAUCAACAGCCUACUUACUGCUACAUUUAUAUUAUUUAAAAUAACUGCCAGCUCAGCUGAUUCCGCAGGAUGUUGUGGCUGUGAACUGGGAAGCCUGCCAUGCUAUUAUUUUGAAAAGUGCUGUGCAAACAGUGUUCCUCUCAGAUGGUUUCCAGAGUUAGUUCCUUACAAGCAUUUCCUCUUGAAACAUCGGGAAUCUAAAUAAAGAGAAAGGUGUCUAAUGGUCUAGUCUACCAACUUCACUAUGCUGAUUUAUGAAAGAAUUGCUGAAACCCAGUGAAUAAUAGCAUUUGCCCUUCUUUCUCAAAAAAGCAGCAUUUGCUUUCUUCUGGCAAGGAAUAAUUAAGCUAAUUUCUCCAUGAACCUUGGAAAAAGUGGCAACGAAUAAUGGAUUUGUCCCUCAAAGAACAUUUCAAGCAAACAUCUUAUCAGCUACAAAUUCAUUUGAGGCAGUUCCAGGUCAGCCACAGGCAAUUUUUCUCAUUAAAAUACUGUUUAAACUGUUGUAUCCAGAUGACACAGGAGACAUAUCAGACAAACAACACCUGCAAGAAGAAUUGGUGAAGUAUUGACUUUUCAUCAAUCAAAAAGUUUACUAAGCAGAUGAAAAUAAUUUGCCUUCACAGUGACAUUUUCCUGACGUCUUGCUAGUACUUAAAGGCAUUGUUUUUUCUUUAACACCCAAACUUUAAUUACCAGAAAAGGUUAGCAUCAAAACAAAGGACAUGUUGGUAAUUUAGAGGCCAUAUCAGAAAAAUAAA